UGGGGAAUUUUGGACAAUGGGGGAAACCCUGAUCCAGCCAUCCCGCGUGUGCGAUGAAGGCCUUCGGGUUGUAAAGCACUUUUGGCAGGAAAGAAACGUCAUGGGUUAAUACCCCGUGAAACUGACGGUACCUGCAGAAUAAGCACCGGCUAACUACGUGCCAGCAGCCGCGGUAAUACGUAGGGUGCAAGCGUUAAUCGGAAUUACUGGGCGUAAAGCGUGCGCAGGCGGUUCGGAAAGAAAGAUGUGAAAUCCCAGAGCUCAACUUUGGAACUGCAUUUUUAACUACCGGGCUAGAGUGUGGCAGAGGGAGGUGGAAUUCCGCGUGUAGCAGUGAAAUGCGUAGAUAUGCGGAGGAACACCGAUGGCGAAGGCAGCCUCCUGGGGUAACACUGACGCUCAGGCACGAAAGCGUGGGGAGCAAACAGG
rnacentral:rRNA from 1 species